rnacentral:rRNA from 1 species
GUGAGGAAUUUUCCGCAAUGGGCGAAAGCCUGACGGAGCAAUGCCGCGUGAAGGAUGAAGGCCUAUGGGUUGUAAACUUCUUUUCUCAGAAAAGAAUUAUGACGGUAUCUGAGGAAUAAGCAUCGGCUAACUCUGUGCCAGCAGCCGCGGUAAGACAGAGGAUGCAAGCGUUAUCCGGAAUGAUUGGGCGUAAAGCGUCUGUAGGUUGUUUAAAAAGUAUUCUGUCAAAGAUUAGGGCUUAACCCUAGAUAGGCAGAAUAAACUUUUAAGCUAGAGUUUGGUAGAGGCAGAGGGAAUUCCCGGUGGAGCGGUGAAAUGCGUAGAUAUCGGGAGGAACACCAAAGGCGAAGGCACUCUGCUGGGCCAAUACUAACACUGAGAGACGAAAGCGAGGGGAGCAAAUGGGAUUAGAAACCCUAGUAGUCC